CCAGCAUACCUGAUUCUCAUCGUCAAUUUCAUUUCUUCUAUUGUGUCUUUCCACAGAGGCUGUUCUGUAGGAAACUGUUCCACUCUCCUUUUCCAGCAGAGGAGACAGGUCACCAAACAAGAUUCUACCAACAAAAAGGUGUUGGUUUCUUUUCCCAUCUCUCAUCUUCUUUUUCCCAAGGACCUUCAGUUGCCAUUUCUACUUUUUUAAUUUUUGUUUUUGGCAUGAUUCAUCAGAGGCCAAAACGAGAGUGAAAAUGUGUUUCAAAACAGCCCAGACAGUGGAUUUGUAAAGGCAUAGCUUUGUUUCUUUCAAAGCACAGUUCAUUUUUUUCUAAAGGGUGAUCUGUGCAGCACACUCCUCCCAGAGGAUAAUAGAAAUGGAAGAUGACUGGGGAUUGUUCCUGGCUCUUUUCCAAGAAGUACUUUGCUUCAUUUGGCUGCCUUCUUGAGAGCUGGAUAAAGAUAGUAUGCAGAGACAGAAAUCACAAAGGUAAUUUUAUUUAACCAAUAAACAUCAUUCUGUGUUCCAGAGAGCUUGCUACUACUCGCUUUUGCUUCUCAACAGCAGUGCUGGUACUCAUUUACUUUAAUUCCCAUCAAUAACAUCCACUCUUUCACUGGCAUCUUGUUUUUCUGUCCUGGUCCUCUUGUCAUUUCCUCUGCUUGCUCCUGCAGAUUCCCAGUGUGAUGGCACAGUGUGACAGUCUGUUUUAUUCACAGCCUCCUCGAUGGUAGGAAUGUUGGCACCCUGUGAAGCACAAGCUCAGAGCAAGGCGCUGCACUUCAGUCCCAGCAGCGUGGAGUGCUUCCCUAAUCUUCCCAGCCCUCCUCCCAUCCGCAGGGCCAGCCUGCCGCUCAGCCUAGCCUUUGACCCCCACAGCCACAUUGUUCCCCUGAUGCUGGACACGCCCAGCAGUGAAUGCAGCAUGGCCAGUCAGGAAAAUGGCUCCACAGAAUCCUUCUCUUACAGCGACCAGAAUCAAGGCUUCAGUUCACCAGCUUCCUGCCCUUGUCUGGAGAAGCUGGAGCCUGCAGACAACCUGGAGGCCACCUACUUUCAGUACAGCAGCCAGGGGGGAAUCUAUCAGCUCUCCCAGUUGUGUCACCAAGGUCACCGGGCCGGCAAUAUGUUCUCCAGUGACCACCUUCCUCCUCCAACACCCCUAGAGUCCCAUCCAGCUUUCCCUGACUUACCUGGCAACAGUGGAGCCAUAACCUACGGAGCCACACAAGGCUAUGUGUGGCCAGUCAUGCCACAGCAGCCAAGUGACAAUUCAGCAGAUAUCCCUGCCUAUCCAGCUGUGCCCUGGAGUGAUUUCUACGUGCAGGGAGCUCCUUUCUCCGAUCAGUUGCAUUCCCAAAUGACUUUUUCUAGCAUGGCAGGAGGGCAGUACUUCACAGAGCCGUAUCUCCCUCAAGUGCCGAACAGAACAGUACUGGAAUUCAUGCCACAGACUGGAAGACAAAAGGGAGUGACACCACCAGAGCCAAGUUCCUACCAGAGCUACCAAACAGAGGCAGAGUUGGCAGCACUCGCUGAAAAAGAGGACUUAGAGAGGAGCGGCAAGAAAGGAGAGACUGGUUGGUAACCAGCUAGAUGUUUUCUUGGGGAAGGAGGAGGGGAAAAAGUUCCAAGGCAGCAGUAGGUCCCCUGAAUGCAGGAUGAAAACUGUGGCAUAUUUUUUGUGAGCUGCUGCCUGAGACAGUUGCCAUGAUGUUACACCUAUCUUAUACCUAGUUCUUAGAUCCAUCUGUUUUUUCAAAUGGAGACAGAAGAGUCAGUAAAACAGGUGGCAAAGUUCUGUAUUUUCUCAGAAAUCAUCUGCUGUGAGCUGUAUGCCUAGACAAAACUGAUUAUUUCUAAGACUUCCAGAGGCAUGAACACUUCUCUUCAAGGCAAAACUUCACCGAGAAGGGGAAGGGAGGGUUUUCUGUUUGGAUUCUCAGGCUUUUAUCUUGGAAACAGAAUUACCUUAUUCUAGAAUUGUUGAAAGGUGUCAUAUAUGCCAUAAAUAUUCUUUGAAAGGGUGUCUUUGUGGGGGAUGCAUAUCUAAUUUUGAGAUAUGAAACAUUUGAAAAAUUCAAGGUAUUUUGUGUCACAUUUUCUUAUGAAUCUGGGUUUUUUUUCAGAAACUGAAGAAGAAACUUAUGACUGAAGCGGCACUCUGAGAAAAAAAGGAAGAGGAAAAAUUGCUAUUUUAAACUCUGCAAAACAAGAGUCAAAAAGAGACAAGGAUAUUAUUAUUUGCAACAGAUGCACUUUUUAAUUUAUUUUUUUGGUUGUAUUUUUUUUUUCUUGUUGCCAUGAUUAUUUUCUUGCUGAAGAAAGAAGCAGGGGUAUUUCACUCAAUCAGAGUUCCUGCCCUGUCUUUUUUUUUUUUUUUUUUUUUUUUUUUUUUUUUUUUUUUUUUUUUUUGCAAAUCUCCUGGCUUUAUUCUUCUUAACAAAUUCUAAUAAAUUCUAAUCUUGACCAGCCCUCA
ensembl:lncRNA